rnacentral:rRNA from 1 species
CCUACGGGCGGCAGCAGUGAGGAAUAUUGGUCAAUGGGCGGAAGCCUGAACCAGCCAAGUAGCGUGCGGGAUGAAGGCCCUACGGGUCGUAAACCGCUUUUGCACGGGGAUAACACCCUCCACUUGUGGAGGUCUGCAGGUACCGUGCGAAUAAGGGCCGGCUAAUUCCGUGCCCGCAGCCGCGGUAAUACGGAAGGCCCGAGCGUUAUCCGGAUUCAUUGGGCUUAAAGGGAGCGUAGGCGGGCGUUCAAGUCAGCGGUAAAAUCGCGCGGGCCAAACGCGCCCCGCAGUUGAAAAUGGACGCCUUGAGUUCACAACAGGCAGGCGGAAUUCGUGGUGUAGCGGUGGAAUGCAUAGGUA